rnacentral:rRNA from 1 species
UCUAGCAUGCGUGAUAAUGAGAAUAGGAUCCUGUCCUCCUAUUUUCAGUUGGUUUUGGCAGCGCGAGGACUAGGGUAAUGAUUAAUAGGGAUAGUUGGGGGCAUUAAUAUUUAAUUGUCAGAGGUGAAAUUCUUGGAUUUAUGAAAGAUUAACUUCUGCGAAAGCAUCUGCCAAGGAUGUUUUCAUUAAUCAAGAACGAAGUUAGGGGAUCGAAGACGAUCAGAUACCGUCGUAGUCUUACAUAACGAUGCGACAGCGAUAGAGACGUGAUACAACACACAUCGCUGCGCGUCAUGUGCGUCUCCUCGCGGGCGCGGGAUGGGCUUAUCCCGGUGGCGCCCGGGUGAAUGACUCCUCG